rnacentral:rRNA from 1 species
AGUGAACGCUGGCGGCGUGCUUAACACAUGCAAGUCGAACGAGAACGGAUUAUAGCUUGCUAUAAUUGUCAGCUAAGAGGCGCACGGGUGAGUAAUGUAUAGGUAAUAUGCCUCUUACUAAGGGAUAACAAAUGGAAACGUUUGCUAAUACCUUAUACUCCUUAUUAACAUAAGUUAAUAAGGGAAAGAUUUAUUGGUAAGUGAUUAGCCUGUAUUGUAUCAGUUAGUUGGUGGGGUAAUGGCUUACCAAGACUAUGACACAUAACUGGUUUGAGAGGAUGAUCAGUCACACUGGAACUGAGACACGGUCCAGACUCCUACGGGAGGCAGCAGUGGGGAAUAUUGCACAAUGGACGAAAGUCUGAUGCAGCAACGCCGCGUGGAGGAUGACACAUUUCGGUGCGUAAACUCCUUUUAUAUGAGAAGAUAAUGACGGUAUUAUAUGAAUAAGCACCGGCUAACUCCGUGCCAGCCGCCGCUGUAAAAC